AGGUUUCACACUUUUCCUGGGGCCUCUGGGCUCCUGUCCAGGCUGAGAUACUUCACAAUUGACUUUCAUUUUCUGAGGACUGACAGGCCAUCAGAAUGGAACUUUUCUCUGCUGACCACUGCUGGCGUGGGCCCAGGACCACUCUUUCCUCUGGAAACAGGGAGGAGAGGUCAUUCUGGAAAUGCUUGAACCACGGAUGAUUGAGAAAGAAAAGUCAACACUUGCCUACAGUGCAGAGAGCAUGGAACUUAAAGAGUUACACAUAUGAAAAAAUCCAAAUGAGUCAACAAAUACUGUGAGAGCGCCAAAAAAUAGUUUAGCUGAACAUGUGGGCUUCUUGUUUAUGCAAGCUUUUCAGAGAAUGUUUUUCAUAAAAGAGAUGUAGCACUGUUUAACGCUCAGUCACUGUUUCAGGGGAUAUGUCUUGGCUGUGCUGUGUUCAAGACUGCUACUGAAGAAGGAAACAAUUCUCUCCUGAGGCAGUUAUGAUUUAAACCUCUUACUAGGGUGGAGAAGUUUGUUUUAUCCUACUUUUUUCCCUCCCUUUUCGCUCUUAUUGGGCACACGUGGCAUCCAUCAAUUUCUUGCUGCACAUUUUGCACGCAAACACCAAUAGAUAGAAGCAUUGUGUUGCAGCUGCAGUACAAAUGCAUGAAAACAUCCAUUUUUAGGGGCCAAACAAUGCAAAAAAUAAAAUAAUUACAAAGUCUAAUAAAACCUUAAUGGAAAUUUCAGUAAAAUCCAUGUUCAUCAGAUGAUCAUUUGAUCAGAAAUGAUAGCAUAUAGAUUUGACAGUUUAUAUUAUGAUGGUCUGAGGAACAAGAAGCAGGAUUUCAUUGUGUAUUCCUGAAUGCUCAGUGGAUUUUGGGUUGCUUCACCACACUGGUAUUUUUUGCUAUUGUAAUACAAAUAGAAAGUUAGAAUUUCUCAGGAAGAAGGAAACUUUAAUUUUAUCUACUGCUUUUAACACUCAAUUAUUUUUUUCCCGCUUGAAUUACUGCCCUUUAAAAGAAUCCAGUAUGAAUUGAUACUCUUAUUCAUCAUAUUUUCUUCAAAGGAAGUAAUAACUACUCCUGGUGAAACCUUGUCUCUGCUCAUGCCCAUCAAUGCCCUGUUGAACCUGAUGAGAAUUUUAUUUCUGAAUUCAGUGAAUUAUUUAAUUCUUUCCAACCAGAUAUAUUCAGAAACCAAAAGCUUUUGUCUGGCAAGAUACAGUUUCCAUUUUAUCCAAACCAUUGUAGCUCAGGUAAUAGGAAAAGUCAACCCCCUAAUGAAUUCUAAGAGCAAUUCACACCUCAGUUACAGAAUCAUGCUUAAUUUGCUCUCAGGUAUUUAAUGUAUUCUUUAGAUUGUAAGCAUUAAAUUGAAACAAUAGGACAAAUUCUGUUCCCAGCAAUCUUUUACAAAUGAAAAAUUAAAUGUGUGGAUUUAUUCCUGUCUUUGCAACAGGGACACGUACACAGCUUGAACAGAUGCAAAGCAAACUUUAUGCAGUUUAUCUACUUGAUUGCCCUAAUUUUUCAAAUACCUUGUACCUAGAACAAGUAAAAGUGGCUUUCCUGGAAAGCACAGUUCAAGUGCACUAGUUUGUCAUUCCGAAGGAUAACCAUCAACCUCUAUACACAGCAGUGCUAGGUAAGCAAAAUCCUCCAAUACUUAGCUCUGCACAUGAAGAAAAUUAAUUGUGAUAUUGUCAAAUUUUCCUCGUCUUGAAUUUGAGAACCUUGGCCAUAAAGAUGGCUCAUUGUAGCCUGUUAAGGCAUGAGAACAAAUGAGCUGUUUUAUAUAUAGGGCAAGUCAGUGAUUUCAUAGCCAUUUCACUUCCAGAAGUGUCAUAUAUAUGAGUGGGUGAGCCCACCCACAUGGUCCAGUGUUGUGGUCUGGUCGCUCUGUUGGAAAAAGCAAUAUAAAGUCAGUUUUUUGGCUUCUGUCAGUGCAUCCAGAUGAUUUCAAUUUGUUAGGAUUCCACUUGAGUGGUCAGCAUUAGUUUGACAAAACUGUGCCAACAGACAACUCUUUCUGCAGCCUCAAGGAUUUUGGUACACAGUGGGACUAGGCAGAGGUACAGAGAUUUUAGCUUCACAAUUACCCAUACAGCUUCUUAAAAUUGGGUCCAUUAGGUAGCCCCCAUAUAUGCACAAGAGUUUAGUAUGUGGCUUAUAUACAAUAAACACUUUACUGAGCUCAGAUUUCAACUGAUGGAAUAAAGAGAGAUUAUAACAAUAGCUGUUCCUUAGGGAACCAUAAAUUGAGCUAAUUUUUAAGUACAGUUCAGGUUCUGGAAAGUUGCAUGAGACACUAGACUGACCUUGCCCACUAGUAGUCAAAGUGCCAAAAGGAAACAUUAUCAUGAUAAUUUGAGUGUUUGUUUCUCAGUAAUUUAAAUUUCAUGCAGCACAGCAGUGUCACAGAGGCCAUUCCUUUUCAACAUAUGUCCGGCAGCUAUAAGGAUGAAAAGUCCUUUGGAUCAUGUAAAAUAAUCUGCUGAUAACAAACUAAGUUUAAGUAUUCUAGAGGUAGACCUUGAAUUUUGUGAUGGAGUUUUACUAUGCAGUAAAAGAGAGGAAAUAGUCUUGGCUCUUCUUAUGUUCCUGGUGUUCAGCAAGUUAACCAUCAACAUGAAUCCAACCUCAUAUUGGCAAGAAUCUCAUGUCCUCAGAAUUUCCGUCUACUAGUUUCUAUUUCAUUAGAGAGAUGGUGUGUGGAGAACAAAUGGGUUCUCUUUUUAGACAUUCAGACCAUUGUAUAGGUUUUUAAAUCAUCCAGUGGUUUAAAAGUUUUAAAAAUAUUUAGAAUGAAGACUGUGGCAAACAACAUACAAGAAACAUUUCUUACCUAAGUACUGUAUUUACUUGGAAAAGGAAAUUACAUUGCUGAUGCCAUUGAUUAACUCAUUAUCUGCUACAAAGGCUUUGGAACCAACUUGGAAUUGACAGAAAAUGCCUUUCCAGUUCCUCAUCUUGUCUUUCUAUCUUCAUCAAACAUGUAAGUUGACUAAUGGAAAGUGAGAUGCUUCUACAACAAAGUGUAAUUAUGAGUGCCUGGACAGAGAAAAAGAUCAUUUCAUGACACCUUCUUUCCAGCUUUCAGGGAACAAACCUAUCAAGUAAUAGUAACCCAGCUGGUAAGACACGCACAGACUUUCCUGCUUUUCACUGAAUUUAUGGGCUUCCUGAGCCAACUAAGAAUUUUAUGUUUACAGAACUGCUAAAGGCUUGGAAUAUUUUACCGGCCUAACACUGAAUUGAUAUCUUACCGAAGUUAAUAAAAUUCUGAUGCAUAAAAUAAGUGGAUUUUAUUACACAGCAAGAACUUGACCCAUUUAUCAAUAAGAAGCCAGGAUCAUCUCAAUUCCUUGGCACAUUUCUGUGGGAAGUUAUGAACAAUAAGUAACUGGGAUCACUAUGAAUUGACUAUUGUAUGAAGUAGCAGAAAGGCCAAUCAGAUAGAAAUUCUCCUUCUGACUCAGCAAAUACUGAGCUUAAGCCCAACCACUGUCCUAACAGCAAAAUUAUUGUAGUUGUUCAGUCAUGGGAACUGCUAGAAAGUGAAUUUUAUGAGUUUAAUAGCUUCUGUGGCAUCUUCCCAAAAUUAACUAGGGAAAUCACUGGCUUCAGGAUCUAAAAUUCUACCAUUUGUAGGAGAUAAGAAAAGAACAAGCCCACAUUUUAAAUGAAUAUGGGAAAAUCUUGGAUUACAAAGUCAAAAUAUUUUCUUUCCAGCACAGCAGAAACCCAUUUAGAGGAAACUAUGCUCCUACACAAUAAAUCACAGACAUAAAACAGUAUUAAUCUUAACACAUAUGUGCAAACUAGUCAGUAUGCAGACCAAGUCACCCAAACUCCCAGCAAAACAUUCUCAGAGCUCAGGCUAGCAGCACCUAACAACUGCAAUACACUGUUCAAUUCCCUAUUACAGUCCUGAGAUUUAUGAAAGGUCCUGUGUGAUUCUGAGAAAGCAAAGUUCUUCACCCUUUCUGAAGUCAUUCACCCUUAUCUACACUUACUGUGCUAAAACGGUUCAGUAAAAAAUGUAAAUUGAUAAUCUGUGUAUUUUAAAUAAAUGGACAAACUCAAACUAUGUUUCAUUAGCAAGAAAGGAAUUUCUGGAAAAUUUUCUCAUCUCAGUGGAAAUAAAGAGCUGCCAGCUGCAUAGAAAAUGUUGCUUAAA